rnacentral:lncRNA from 1 species
UGGGAGGGACUGGGGGGUGCUGGGAGGGCACUGGGGGGUUACUGGGAGGGACUGGGAGGUACUGGGAGGGAACUGGGAGCACUGGGGCUGCCCCUCCCCCAAGGAGCCGGGGCUGCGGCACCGGGAGCUUUAUUGGGGACGGGGGAGGGGACAGGUGUGACACGGGUGUGGCACGGGUGUGGCACGGGUGUGACACGGGUGUGGCACAGGUGUGACACGGGUGUGGCACAGAUGAGGGGACAGGUGAGGGCCAGCACGGUGCCAGGUGCCGGUGCCACGGGGCAGGGGUGACACGGGUGACACCAGUGCCAGGGGCAGGUGCCACAGGUGUGCCACAGGUGUGUCCCAGCUGUCCCCAGGUGUGUCCCAGGUGUGUCCCCAGGUGUCCCAGCUGUCCCAGGUGUGUCCCAGCUGUCCCAGGUGUGUCCCAGCUGUCCCAGGUGUCCCAGGUGUGAUCCAGGUGUGUCCCCUCACCUGCAGCCGGGCCGGGCCCUGCCCGGGUUCCAGCCAGGUCCCGAGGCAGCAGCGCAGCCCCGGCAGCAGCAGCGGCACCUGGGGGGGCAGAAAUUGGGGAUUUGGGGGAUUUGGGGCAUUUUGGGGGCUUUGGGGCAUUCUGGGGGGUUUGGGGCAUUUUGGGGGGUUUGGGGAAUUUUUUAGGUUAUUUUGGGGGUAUUUGGGGGGAUUUUGGGGUAUUUUGGGUUAUUUUUGCAGGGAUUUUUGCGGGGAUUUUGGGGUAUUUUGGGUUAUUUUUGGAGGGAUUUUUGGGGGGAUUUUGGGGUAUUUCGGGUUAUUUUUGCAGGGAUUUUUGGGGGGAUUUUGGGGUAUUUUGGGGGGAUUUUGGGGUAUUUUUGGAGGGAUUUUGGGGCAUUCUGGGGGGUUUGGAGCAUUUCUUAAGAUUGUUUUGGGAUGAUUUGGGGGGAUUUUGGGGUUAUUUGGGGUAUGUCGGGGUAAUUUUGGGUGGUUUUAGGGUAUUUUGGGGUGGUUUCAGGGUAUUUUUGGGGGUUUUUGGGGUACCUUGAGGCAGGGGGGCUGAGGCCGUUUUGGGGUGGUUUUGGGGGUAUUUUUGGGUGGUUUCAGGGUAUUUUUG